AGCUCAAAUUUGAAAUCUGGCCCCCCGCGGGCCCGAGUUGUACUUUGGAGAGGACGCUUCUGGCGCGGCGCCGUCCGAGUUCCCUGGAACGGGACGCCGGAGAGGGUGAGAGCCCCGUACGGGCGGCCGCCUAGCCUCUGCGAAGCUCCUUCGACGAGUCGAGUAGUUUGGGAAUGCUGCUCAAAAUGGGAGGUAAAUUUCUUCUAAAGCUAAAUACCGGCCAGAGACCGAUAGCGCACAAGUAGAGUGAUCGAAAGAUGAAAAGCACUUUGAAAAGAGGGUCAAACAGUACGUGAAAUUGUUGAAAGGGAAGCGCCUGUGGCCAGACUUGCGCCCCGCGGACCACCCGGCGCCUCGCGCGCCGGGGCACGCCAGCGGGGCGCAGGCCAGCAUCGGCUCUCUCGGGGGGACAAAGGCCGCGGGAACGUAGCGCCCUCGCGGCGUAUUAUAGCCCGCGGCGCCAUGCCCCCGGGGGGGCCGAGGACCGCGCUCCGGCAAGGAUGCUGGCGUAAUGGCCACCGGCGACCCGUCUUGAAACACGGACCAAGGAGUCAAGCAUUGGGGCGAGUGUCUGGGUGGCAAGCCCGCACGCGGAAUGAAAGUGAACGCAGGUGGGAGCUUCGGCGCACCACCGACCGAUCCUGAUGUCCUCGGAUGGAUUUGAGUAGGAGCCCCGCCGCUUGGACCCGAAAGAUGGUGAACUAUGCCUGUAUAGGGUGAAGCCAGAGGAAACUCUGGUGGAGGCCCGCAGCGGUUCUGACGUGCAAAUCGAUCGUCAA
rnacentral:rRNA from 1 species